GAUGAACGCUGGCGGUAUGCUUAACACAUGCAAGUCGAACGGACUCUUCGGAGUUAGUGGCGGACGGGUGGGUAACGCGUGAGAAUCUGGCUUUGGGUUCGGGACAACCACUGGAAACGGUGGCUAAUACCGGAUGUGCUGAGAGGUAAAAGAGAAAUUGCCUGAAGAUGAGCUCGCGUCUGAUUAGCUAGUUGGUGAGGUAAAGGCUCACCAAGGCAGCGAUCAGUAGCUGGUCUGAGAGGAUGACCAGCCACACUGGGACUGAGACACGGCCCAGACUAAUACGGGAGGAAGCAGUGGAGAAUGUUCCGGAAUGGGCGAGAGUCUGACGGAGCAAUACCGCGUGAGAGAAGAAGGCUCUUGGGUUGUAAACCUCUUUUCUUAGAGAAGAACAAAAUGACGGUACCUAAGGAAUCAGCAUCGGCUAACUCCGUG
rnacentral:rRNA from 1 species